GACGAACGCUGGCGGCGUGGAUAAGACAUGCAAGUCGAACGGGAUUACUUUGGUAGCAAUACCGAAAGUAAUUCAGUGGCGAACGGGUGCGUAACACGUGGGCAAUCUGCCGAAAAGUGGGGAUAGCUCGCCGAAAGGCGAAUUAAUACCGCAUGUGGUGAGGGACGACAUCUUCCUGAAUCCAAAGCCGGGGCAACCUGGCGCUUUUUGAGGAGCCCGCGGCCUAUCAGCUUGUUGGCGGGGUAACGGCCACCAAGGCUAUGACGGUAGCUGGUCUGAGAGGACGACCAGUCACACUGGAACUGAGACACGGUCCAGACACCUACGGGU
rnacentral:rRNA from 1 species